rnacentral:rRNA from 1 species
GACAGAGGGUGCGAACGUUGUUCGGAAUUACUGGGCGUAAAGCGCAUGUAGGCGGCAGCGCAAGUCGGGCGUGAAAUCCCACGGCUCAACCGUGGAAGUGCACUCGAAACUGCGCAGCUAGAGUCCUGGAGAGGAAGGUGGAAUGCUUGGUGUAGAGGUGAAAUUCGUAGAUAUCAAGCGGAACACCGGUGGCGAAGGCGGCCUUCUGGACAGUGACGUGACGCUGAGAUGCGAAAGCGUGGGGAGCA